GUGCUCACUUCAGCAGCACAUACAUGUACUAAAAUGGGAAUGAUACAGAGAAGAUUAGCAUGGCCCCUGUGCAAGAAUGACAAAUUCAUGACAAAUUCAUGAGGCAUUU